rnacentral:rRNA from 1 species
UACGAGGGGGGCGAGCGUUGUUCGGAAUUAUUGGGCGUAAAGGGUGCGUAGGCGGUUUUGUAAGUCCUAUGUGAAAUCUAUGGGCUCAACUCAUAGACUGCAUGAGAAACUGCAGGGCUUGAGUAUGGGAGAGGUGAGUGGAAUUCCUGGUGUAGCGGUGAAAUGCGUAGAUAUCAGGAGGAACACCUGUGGCGAAAGCGGCUCACUGGACCAUAACUGACGCUGAUGCACGAAAGCUAGGGGAGCAAACAGG